CCUGCAACUAUCCAAUUUCUAACCCCAGUUGCUCCCCACAAGGCUCUUAGUAUAUACUCCAUAAAUCUCACUUUUCUUAUAUAAUUAUACUAAUAUAUACUCAGGUUUUUCACACAACACCUUCAUUACCUUCCCAUGCACAUGCAUUACACCAUCCUCCCACCAUAAUUGUUUAUAUACCUCUUCUGUCUCAGGUGAACUAAAGAUGGUGGUGGUCUCAAUAAAAUGCUCGGGCACAAGAAAUAAUAAUUAUCUACGUACAUGUACAUGAUUGUUGUUGCUCUCUUAUAAUUAUAAUUAUGACAAAACGAACUAUAAUAAUUAUUAGCAAAGCAAUGAAUUGUUGGGAAAAAAACCGUUUGCUACGGCCUAGCUAAUGAAAGACAGUAGGACUGCUGCCUAAUGAAAGGUAGUAUAGGGCUGCUACCUAGCAAAAAAAACAAAAAAAAACUACCACUGUAGCGGGGGCUGCUGUUGACUAUCACAAUGAAAGACUACAGGAGGGCUGUGAUCUAAUGAAAGACUACAGGAGACCUGUUGACUAUCACAAUGAAAGACGACAGGAAAGUGAGUGACCAGUUUCCCGGCCACCCACCUACAGCUCCGGAGCCCCGGUUUAUAACCCACACGCUACAUGGGUGAACUGCAACAAGUCAAUAACGUAGGAGGAAGGGGGUCUUUUAGCCUCGAUCCUAGGCCGCACUGAAGAUGAGGCCUUGUAAACACCAAUAGCUAGGGCAUCUUGGCAUCAUAUACUCUCUGAGCUGAAAAACUUGGGUAUCAUCAAGUACAGUGCUACGUGGAGGGAGUUGAAUACAGCAAUGAAAGGAACAGAGAAGAGGCCUACAGAUUCAAGGUGGUAUUAGAGUCGAGUAUAAAUUAAUACCUCAGUGGUACCCGUACCUCCUCUAGCUCUCUUCGGAAAGUAUCGUGUGUGUGGCCGACUGGUGUCAGUUCUCAGUGAGCGCCCCCUCAAGUCUGGGGGGUUAGGUUGUGAGGUUCAUGGCUUACCUGCAUGCUGUGUUUGACUGGAGAGGAUCAACGGAGCAAAAAGUGAACUAAAGAGAUGUCGCAGUUAACAAGAUAGCCAGCUGCUGGGAUGUCACAAGGGAACAAGAGAUCAGUUCUCUGAAGUCCAUAGUCUUAUUAUUAGUCUUGUAACAGUUGUGUAUCACAUGCACUCUCUCUUGUUUUAAAUAAUUCAGCAGCAA